UACGUAGGGGGCAAGCGUUGUCCGGAUUUAUUGGGCGUAAAGAGCGUGUAGGCGGCCUGAAAGGUCAGCUGUGAAAACUCGAGGCUCAACCUCGAGACGUCGGUUGAAACCAUCUGGCUAGAGUCCGGAAGAGGAGUGUGGAAUUCCCGGUGUAGCGGUGAAAUGCGCAGAUAUCGGGAAGAACACCCGUGGCGAAGGCGGCACUCUGGGACGGUACUGACACUGAGGCGCGAAAGCGUGGGGAGCGAACAGG
rnacentral:rRNA from 1 species